GACGAACCGAGCGAACGUUGUUCGGAAUCACUGGGCUUAAAGGGCGCGUAGGCGGGCUGUCAAGUUUGGGGUGAAAUCCCACGGCUCAACCGUGGAACUGCCUCAAAUACUGACGGUCUCGAGGAAGGUAGGGGCGAGCGGAACUGAUGGUGGAGCGGUGAAAUGCGUUGAUAUCAUCAGGAACUCCGGUGGCGAAGGCGGCUCGCUGGACCUUUUCUGACGCUGAGGCGCGAAAGCUA
rnacentral:rRNA from 1 species